rnacentral:rRNA from 1 species
CGGGGGAGCAAGCGUUGUUCGGAUUUACUGGGCGUAAAGGGCGCGUAGGCGGCCAGCACAAGUCAGUUGUGAAAUCUCCGGGCUUAACUCGGAAAGGUCAACUGAUACUGUGCGGCUAGAGUGCAGAAGGGGCAACUGGAAUUCUCGGUGUAGCGGUGAAAUGCGUAGAUAUCGAGAGGAACACCUGCGGCGAAGGCGGGUUGCUGGGCUGACACUGACGCUGAUGCGCGAAAGCCGGGGGAGCGAACGGGAUUAGAUACCCCGGUAGUCCUGGCCUUAAACGAUGGAUGCUUGGUGUCUGGAGUUUUAUAGUCUCCGGGUGCCGUAGCUAACGCGUUAAGCAUCCCGCCUGGGGAGUACGGUCGCAAGACUG